GACGAACGCUGGCGGCGUGCUUAACACAUGCAAGUCGAACGAUGACGACCGAGCUUGCUCGGUCUGAUUAGUGGCGAACGGGUGAGUAACCCGUGAGCAACCUGCCCUUCACUCUGGGAUAACCUCGGGAAAUCGGGGCUAAUACCGGAUAUGAGCUCCUGUCGCAUGGCGGGUGUUGGCAAGUUUUUCGGUGAAGGAUGGGCUCGCGGCCUAUCAGUUUGUUGGUGAGGGAGUGGCUCACCAAGGAGAUGACGGGUAGCCGGCCUGAGAGGGCGACCGGCCACACUGGGACUGAGAGACGGACCAGACUCCUACGGGAGGCAGCAGUGGGGAAUAUUGCACAAUGGGCGAAAGCCUGAUGCAGAGACGCCGCGUGAGGGAUGACGGCCUUCGGGUUGUAAACCGCUUUCAGCAGGGAAGAAGCGAAAGUGACGGUACCUGCAGAAGAAGCGCCGGCUAACUACGUG
rnacentral:rRNA from 1 species